rnacentral:rRNA from 1 species
UACGUAGGGGGCAAGCGUUGUCCGGAUUUAUUGGGCGUAAAGAGCGUGUAGGCGGCCAGACAGGUCCGUUGUGAAAACUCGAGGCUCAACCUCGAGAUGUCGAUGGAAACCGUCUGGCUAGAGUCCGGAAGAGGAGUGUGGAAUUCCUGGUGUAGCGGUGAAAUGCGCAGAUAUCAGGAAGAACACCCGUGGCUAAGGCGGUUCUCUAGUACGGUACUGACGCUGAGACGCGAAAGCGUGGGGAGCGAACAGG